UGCAGUCGACGAGAUCUUCGGAUCUAGUGGCGCACGGGUGCGUAACGCGUGGGAAUCUACCCUUGGGUUCGGAAUAACAGUUAGAAAUGACUGCUAAUACCGGAUGAUGACGUAAGUCCAAAGAUUUAUCGCCCAAGGAUGAGCCCGCGUAGGAUUAGCUUGUUGGUGAGGUAAAAGCUCACCAAGGCGACGAUCCUUAGCUGGUCUGAGAGGAUGAUCAGCCACACUGGGACUGAGACACGGCCCAGACUCCUACGGGAGGCAGCAGUAGGGAAUAUUGGACAAUGGGGGCAACCCUGAUCCAGCAAUGCCGCGUGAGUGAUGAAGGCCUUAGGGUUGUAAAGCUCUUUUACCCGAGAUGAUAAUGACAGUAUCGGGAGAAUAAGCUCCGGCUAACUCCGUGCCAGCAC
rnacentral:rRNA from 1 species